rnacentral:rRNA from 1 species
GACGAACCGUACGAAACGUUAUUCGGAAUUACUGGGCUUAAAGGGUUUGUAGGCGGCCUUGUAAGUCAGGUGUGAAAUCCCUCGGCUCAACCGAGGAAUGGCGCUUGAUACUGCAAGGCUUGAGGGAGACAGGGGUAAGCGGAACUGAUGGUGGAGCGGUGAAAUGCGUUGAUAUCAUCAGGAACACCGGUGGCGAAAGCGGCUUACUGGGUCUCUUCUGACGCUGAGGAACGAAAGCUAGGGGAGCGAACGGG